UACGUAGGGCGCAAGCGUUGUCCGGAAUUAUUGGGCGUAAAGCGCACGUAGGCGGCUUUGCAAGUCGGAUGUGAAAUCCCUCGGCUUAACCAAGGAAGUGCAUCCGAAACUGCAGAGCUUGAGUACUUAAGAGGAUCGCGGAAUUCCCGGUGUAGAGGUGAAAUUCGUAGAUAUCGGGAGGAACACCAGUGGCGAAGGCGGCGAUCUGGGAAGAUACUGACGCUGAGGUGCGAAAGCGUGGGGAGCAAACAGG
rnacentral:rRNA from 1 species